GACGAACGCUGGCGGCGUGCCUAAUACAUGCAAGUAGAACGCUGAAGGAGGAGCUUGCUUCUCUGGAUGAGUUGCGAACGGGUGAGUAACGCGUAGGUAACCUGCCUGGUAGCGGGGGAUAACUAUUGGAAACGAUAGCUAAUACCGCAUAAGAGUAGAUGUUGCAUGACAUUUACUUAAAAGAUGCAAUUGCAUCACUACCAGAUGGACCUGCGUUGUAUUAGCUAGUUGGUGAGGUAACGGCUCACCAAGGCAACGAUACAUAGCCGACCUGAGAGGGGGAUCGGCCACACUGGGACUGAGACACGGCCCAGACUCCUACGGGAGGCAGCAGUAGGGAAUCUUCGGCAAUAGACGGAAGUCUGACCGAGCAACGCCGCGUGAGUGAAGAAGGUUUUCGGAUCGGAAAGCUCUGUUGUAAGGGAAGAACGAGUGUGAGAGUGGAAAGUUCACACUGUGACGGUAUCUUACCAGAAAGGGACGGCUAACUACGUG
rnacentral:rRNA from 1 species